CUCAGCUUGCUUUCUGUCAGCUCAUUUACUCCAGAGGAAGUUGGUGCCAUGUUGGGAAGAUGGUUUCACAGCUCCGUGAAGAGAUUCAUGCGAUCAGGAACGACAAAUAGCAACAGGCUAGGGAGCAAGCUAUGAAGAGAACAUAGUAGCCUCCGACUAUGGAGCUGCCCAACUGUCAUGUGACCAUCACCUCAAGAGACCUAAGCUCACAGAAAGAGGCCAAAUGCAUAAGAGACCUGCAUUCCCUGGUUCUCUAUUGAAAAGUGAGGAGCCUGGAGCUCCAAGGCUGUGUGCAGGUGAAACUUGGACCAUGGAGAACCAGUGCUGAGUCAGCUGUGUUCACUCAGAGACUCUUGCUGGACUGAUCCCUGAAUUGGCUGGCCCUUCACUCAACCAUAGUUUCCUGGAGAGACAAGAGACAGUCAUCUACCUAGUGACUUUCAACAGCUGAAACAUGAUAAAACAGACUUAAGUGAAAAAAAUCUCACCAAGUUUUAGCAUGAAACACUAGAAAGAAGGCUGGGGGAAAUGGUUCAGUAGGUAAAGUGUUUGAGUCCCCAGAACCCCUCUACAGCUGGACACCUUGGUGUUCAUCUGGUAACCCAGCGUUCCUAUGAUAAAACAUAAAAGAGGUAAGGACAACCCUCAGACACUCCUUGGCCAGUUAGUCUGGGAUAUGCAGAAACAGACAACAAAGAGACCUUGUCUCAAACAAGGUGGAAAAGAGGGACUGACACCCAAGGCUGUUCGCUGAGCAUCACAAAGGCACAGUGGUGUGUACAUAUGUUUUCUGGUCUUUUUCUCUCUCCAUCCCCUCACAGCCUGUUUUUUGUAAAAGGGACAAAUGUUCUUUAUCUGUCACAGGAAUUGGCCACAACCUUAAUACACCUGUGAUAACCUUAACUAUUCUGUCUAAUUGAAUCUUCAGAGAUUGUCUCUACAGCAUUGUUUAGAUCACAGAACUGAAAACCGAAUCCACUGAUACAAGACUAAGUAAAUUAUGGUUUAUGCCAUUUAAUGAUCACAGAAAGGUUUCAGCAAGAAGCAUACAUUUUCCUGUUGCCAUGUUUAAAAAAAAUAGGCUAC